UGAGGGGUACCCACGAAUUCCACGAUAAUUGAUCCACCACGAAUUCUAAUGAUUCCACAGUAUUCCCAAACAAAAAUAAUCAUUCAGUUUUCUUUUUGUAGUGUGUGAAUGUCACAUAUACUUGUGUACUAAUUUUUUAUGCAUAGUUAUCCUUUCCAGGGCCUCUUCUAUCAGUUGAUAUCUUUACCCCGUAUGGUACCCCGUUUACCUGUGUCUGAUAUAACUGAGUUCUGGGUUUAGCCAUUCUUUUCUACACUCAUGCUGCACGGAAUUCGUGUUUGAUUGGUGUUCGGACAUUUUGAGUUAUAAAUUUUUGUAAAACUUCUUUAAUUAUACAGACACUUGGCUUUCUGAGGUCCCAAAAUAUUCCUUUGAAACUGUGUUCCAGACCUGUGUGUGUCCCGGAACUGUGUGCGUCCCGGACCUGUGUGUGUCCCGGAACUGUGUAUCUGGAAACAGUGUGUGUGUUCCGGAGCUGUGUGUAUCCCGGAACUGUGUGUUCAGGAACUUUGUGCCUGUAUCAAGACCAGGCAUCAGGCAUCAAUACUGUAUAACUUUAAUGUAACGAAUACAGAAGUGAAUCAUAAAACCAA